rnacentral:lncRNA from 1 species
GGCUUCUGGGAGUUGUAGUCCAAGUACAUCUGGGGACCCAAGGCUGGGAACCACUGCUUUAGACUUACGAGAUAUGGGAUGAUUUCUCAUGAAAUUCGUUGUUCUUGUUGAGACAGACAUGGUAUGAAGAGUUUGUUAACAUCCAUUUUGUUCACAAGACCCAUUUCCUCUCCUCCCCCCUGCAUGGAAAAUUGCCUGUGUGGAAAAUCAUAUGUAUUUUGGUGUGUGCUUUUUCUAAUGAUCACAAUUCCCGCAAAUCUUCCCCGCUGACUCAUACAUUUUGCAUAUAUUAUGUGUAUAUUUCUUUCCUCUCUCCCCCACCAAAAAAAGAUGAUGAAAAGCAAGAAGAAGAAAACUGAUGUUGACAGUUUUAGCCUGAUGUAUAAGGAAACGAAGAUAUUCACAUGCUUCUGUUUGUAUUCUGGUGGACAAGAGAGAAAAAUGUGUAAAAUAUCUCGGUUGAGGAAAGUGGCGGGUGUUGGAACAUGUCAGGAGGCUCCGCCGAUUAUAGCAGGUACUUUGGCGCGGGAAGGCGGGGUGGGGGGAAAGAGGUGAGGCCGUUCGUUUCGGCGGGAAAGGCCGAAACAGUCUCAGGUUGUUUUAUUAUUUUUUUAAUGAGAGGGAAGCGGCUAGAAGGUUGUUGAUGGGAAAGUGAGGCGGCGGCGGCCGUGAGGCGCGUGACGGGCGCCGCGUUCCCUCUAAAGGCCGCCGCUGGGGUUCCCCGAUUGAGCCCCUCGCUCUCCUUCGCUGUCAAAGGCCGCGUUCUGAGGUAACGCUUUUCUGUCAAGGCGCUCACCUCCCCACUUUUCUGUUUUUUUGUUUUUGUGUGUGUGUGUUUUUGGCGCGAGAAAGGGGCGUGCUUCCUUUAACGUGCAAUAAACGGUGUGGCCCGAAAGGGCAAGGCGGGAGGGGAGGCCAAUCUGGCCACCCUGGCCGAAGGGAAGAAACAUGCGCUUCCCGAGUCGCUCUUUCUCCUUGAGGUGACGGUCCGCCCGAGCGGCCUGGGCGUUUCUUGGAGGCCGCCUUGGUUGGACGAGCGAUGUUUUUUUAAAAAAGGAUUUCUUCCCCCCCCCCCAAAAAAAAAUUCCUCUGGUCUUGUCUUUCCCGAUGUCACACGGCUUCUCCCGUUCGGGGGAACGGAAUGCCCUUCCGAGGGAUUGCAUGUGCGCAAAAGAGGAGCAAAAUCCCCAUAUAAUGUAUAUAUGGUGUUCGGGAGGGUCAAUUCUUACCCACCGGAGGGGGGGGGAGAAAGAGAGAGGACAGGGAGGGACGCGACGCCUCUCGUAGGCCGUUCGUUCGCCAGCCGGCGCGUCACUCACCGGCGUGCUCUCGUCUUGCGCAAUCGAGCCUCAGGGGUGGAGCUCUCGCGAGAGUUCGGCGGUUCUCUGAAAGGAAGGAGGGGAAAAAAGAGCUGGGAUCAUAACGGCCUGCCUAGCUUUGGCCAUCCGAGCAGGCGACCCCUUGCGAGUGCCCGGCCACGUGCUCGUCCCUCCUCUGAGGUUUGCCCAACGUCCAUGCUAUUUUUCUCCUAGUUUGUGCACUUUCCUGACGAUGGGAGCGCCUUUGACCAUGUCAGUGAAAAGCCGGGUCCUCUUUUCCAUUAUUUUUAUCCCGCUACCCACUUUAGGUCAAGAAAGUACUGUAGUUUUUACUUUUGCCUCGAGCCGAUAUUAUCCAAGUUCCCCCCCCAAAGUUAUGUAGGAUGCCUAUAAGAGUACAUGAACUGAGAAAAAGGCGACCUAUUAGGAAUAGAAGGGGGGCUUUCAGCGGCAGGAAGUCGCACUUUGGUUGCAGGUUUUUUCAGAACCGUUUGGUGGCUAGAUUUCUCUUCAUUUAAUAAAUUUCUUUGUGUGGGAAGGUUCCCUAUCCA